rnacentral:other from 1 species
CAUUGUAAGGAUACGUUCGCUAACAGGAUGUUAGUGGCAAGGAUGGCAAUGGACACCUCUAGGAUGAGGCUAGGACAGUAUCAGGAUGAUACAAAGGACACCGCUCAAGGAACAAGUGAUGUGGAGCUGACGAGGAUUGUUAGCUAUCAGGACGAUUAGGACACCGCUAGGAAGGCGAAGGCAGGAUUUUACUGAAGGAUUCAGUAACUAUUAAGGAAGAUGCAUGGAGCACCUUUUGUAGCCGGAUUGCUGCGAGUAAGACUAUAGCCCCGAUACUAACGUAUCGGGGCUUUUCUUAGAU